UACGGGGGGUGCGAGCGUUGUCCGGAAUCACUGGGCUUACAGAGUUCGUAGGCGGUACGGAAAGUGGGGUGUGAAAGCCCUCGGCUCAACCGAGGAACUGCGCUCCAAACUACCGUGCUAGAGGAAGAUAGAGGUGAGCAGAACUGAUGGUGGAGCGGUGAAAUGCGUUGAUAUCAUCAGGAAUACCGGAGGCGAAGGCGGCUCACUGGGUCUUUUCUGACGCUGAGGAACGAAAGCUAGGGGAGCAAACGGG
rnacentral:rRNA from 1 species